rnacentral:rRNA from 1 species
CCUACGGGAGGCAGCAGUGGGGGAUAUUGCACAAUGGACGGAACUCUGAUGCAGCGACGCCGCGUGAGGGAAGAAGGUUUUCGGAUUGUAAACCUCUGUCUUCGGUGACGAAACGAGUCGGUAUCCGAGGAGGAAGCCACGGCUAACUACGUGCCAGCAGCCGCGGUCAUACGUAGGUGGCAAGCGUUGUACAGAAUUACGGGGUGUACAGGUAGCGUAGGCGGGAAGGCUAGUUGCAUGUUUAAGGUACGGGCUCAAGCUGUACAGGCGUUCAAAACUGUUUUUCGUGAGUGGAGUAGAGGUGAGAGGAAUUCCUAGUGUAGCGGGGAAAUGCGUAAAUAUUAGGAGGAACACCAGUGGCGAAGGCGGCUUACUGGGCUUUAACUGACGCUGAGGCUCGAAAGCGUGGGUAGCAAACAGGAUUAGAUACCCCAGUAGUC